GCUUUCAACUCUGCUCUUGCCUUUUUCAGGUACACAACACUUCACUUUGCUCCUCCAACCUUUUAUUUACCUCAAUUCAUCCUCAUCCAAACAGUCCCUUAGAUCGAUUUCCAAAUCCAUAGCCGAGCACCUUGACAAUUUCAGGCAGCCAUGGAUCAAUCGCAUCGCAUUGCAUCAGCGUCUCGUUGUCAGGCCUCAUCGAUUCUUUGGAUAAACCCUCCUAAAACAGUCAAAAAUUAAAAUUUGGAUUUAUGCUAGUUGACAGCAAAUGAAGCGAGUGUUCAAAAUCUCGGAUGCAGUCCAAGCGGAGCUCCUCAGUCGCCGCAGAUUGCCUACAGUUUCCCACACUUUGGCACCUUUCACCUUCACCCUCACCAAGUCGCUAGUUUACAGACUUGCCCGCGAGCACGCUCACACUUUGCUGCCCGCCAAUGUUGUCCCCAAUGUCAUCGCCCUUUUAUCCAAGAAGUUCUCUCAAGUUGAAACCAAUGACUGGAAGGAUUUAAGAGCAAAGGUGUCUCAUCUGCGGGACGAAUUAGUUCAACAUGGUGGAGAUUUGAUAAGGCUAUUGAGGUUUUGGGGGAGAAGCGUGACUUGUUGUUUGGGAUGUAUACCGAUGGAUCCGCUUUUAUUGAGCUCCUGAAGCAGUUGGUUUCUUGGCCUCACUUAGCCGUAGAGGUGUUGUUUUGCAUUAAUUUUACUGGGUUGUUAUUCAUUUUGCUUCUCGAUCAGCAAGCCCAUUGCAUGUGUAUGUUUAAAUUGAUUUGUUCUUGCGAGCAUCUGUCUUGGAGUUGAUGAGUUUUUGGUGA
rnacentral:misc_RNA from 1 species